rnacentral:ncRNA from 1 species
GGCGGGAGCCCGCGAAUACAACACCCGCGAGGGAAAUAAGCGGGCCUGACUCACAUCAGGUUCUCAGCUCCCGCCGCCAGGUG